AGCACUUGUGUGUGCAUCUUUGUUUACUUUGUAACAAGCCUUACAGACAGGUGUAAACAGUAAAUCUUUUUUUAGCAACCCAGAACUGAUUGUUGAAUAUGAGAUUUUGGUACAAGUAAAAAGGAAUAUG